rnacentral:tRNA from 1 species
GGGGGAAUGGCUUAGUGGUAGAGUGUGUGCUUGGCAUGCACAAGGUCCUGGGUUCAAUCCCCAGUAUCUCCA